rnacentral:lncRNA from 1 species
CUCAGAGAUCCAUUACAAAGGAAACAAAUUCAUUUGAAUUUCUAUUGAACCUUGAAAAGCUGCUUUUAUGGAGUUCUUUCUGGAGGCUUUCAACAGUGGUGCUUUGGCAGGAGGAGAAGACAAAACCGAUGCUCCUGGUCCCAGCACUCGGUGUCGGCGGUUUGCCCUUGGCUCUUGCCCCCUGUUGCAGAUGGAAAACGAGAGCAUUGCUCAUUCUUGGGGCUGUGACGUGGGAUCUGACUCCUCAGCAGCCGUAAUGCAGAGCUCCCCUGGAGGCACAGCCAAUAUCCCCAUCUGAUCUGUUCCUUUGGACCAUGCAGUGGCAAGAAGGGCUGGAACAGGGACAGAUUGGACCCAACUAAAGAGACAGAGAUCCUAAAGAUAUGACUAAAAAAGGCAAGAGAGCAGAACUAUGAAGAGUAAGGAGGACAACGUGGGUCCACAGGAUACAAACCUGUAUUGAAUCAGUUUCCUUCACUCCUACAGAGUGGGGAACUUUGAUUCUUCGAUGCCAAUCAGGGUAAAAUUGGUCCCACCUAGCAAUGUGUAAAUGCUGAAUGUUCUGCUCAUCUUUCUCCCAGUGUUUUGUCUUUUUUGAAGGGAAUGUGGUGGAAUUAGGCUCAAAGAUUGAUUCAAGUGCCAGAGAACCCUGCAGAAGAACAAGUAUUCAGAAGAACAGCCAUUUUCUGUAAGUGGACUUAAUCAAGCACAGAUAAUGGGGAGUUAGACCAUCUUUGAAAAC